rnacentral:rRNA from 1 species
UCAGAUAAGAGUACCCGCUGAACUUAAGCAUAUCAAUAAGCGGAGGAAAAGAAACUAACAAGGAUUCCCUUAGUAACGGCGAGUGAAGCGGGAAGAGCUCAAAUUUGAAAUCUUCAAGGUUCUACCUUGACGAAUUGUAGUUUAAAGAAGUGUUUUCUGUUAGAGGAGUGGCAAAAGUUCUUUGGAAUAGGACAUCAUAGAGGGUGAGAAUCCCGUAUUUGGUCAUUCUUUCUAGCUGUGUGAUACACUUUCAAAGAGUCGGAUUGUUUGGGAAUGCAGUCCAAAAUGGGUGGUAAAUUUCAUCUAAAGCUAAAUAUUGGCGAGAGACCGAUAGCGAACAAGUACCGUGAGGGAAAGAUGAAAAGAACUUUGAAAAGAGAGUUAAACAGUACGUGAAAUUGUCAAAAGGGAAGCGUUUGACACCAGUGUUGUUUUUCCGAAAAUCAAUUGUGCCUGGCUGGAUUUUGUAGGAGUUUGACCUUAUCAGCUUCUUCUGCUUUUUUCCGGUCUGGUGCAAUGCACUUUUCGGUUAACAAGUCAACAUCAAUUUCUUUUGUUGUAAAAGGGUAAUUGGAAGGUGGCUUUCUUUUCGGAGAAAGUGUUUAUAGCCUUUUACCUCUACAAUCGGAGAGAUUGAGGUCUGCAGCGUAGAUCCUUCGGGGUUAGAUACAUUUGUGCUAAGUUAUAGCCCUGUAUAGACAACUUGUUGACUAUACUCGGUCAUGUAGCUUACUCGCUUAUGCUAUUUUACCUACGCUUAGGAUGUUGACAAAAUGGUUUUAAACGACCCGUCUUGAAACACGGACC